rnacentral:rRNA from 1 species
AAUUAGAAAAGAAAAAGUUAAAGUUUGUACCUUUUGUAUUAUGGUUUAAUAAGGUUAUACGAAUAAGGUUUUAUAACCCGAAGCUGAACGAGCUAGUGUACUCUGCUUUAAGAGAGAGAGCUUUUACUGUUGCAAUAGUAAGGCUUGAGGGUACAAUAGGUGUGAAAUGCUUAUCGCGUUCAGGGAUAGCUGGUUUUCCUAGAAAUAAGUAUAAGCUGAGCGUACGUUUUUAUUACAAUAGUAUUGAAUUCUAUAGGAUAAAAAAAUUGUUUUGAUAAUAGUGUGUUUGUAAGACAGAAAGGGACAAGCUUUUCUGUCAAAAAAGAAAAAGCUUUAAUUACUGAUAAAGGGCGGUUAUAAGAAUGUUUCGUAUAUUAAUAAAAAGUAGGAUUAAUAGCAUCUAACUUUAUAGAGGGCGUUAAAGCUAAUUUAAUAAAAUCAAUACAAAAAAUUUAUGACGGAUAGCCCCAAAUUGUAUAUAUUAUAGGAAGAUUUCAUUUACUUGAAAGUUAUAAUGUUAAAAUUAGUAAAGAGUAAAAUAUUUUUUGUGAUUUAAUCAAUCCUAACUUUUGGAUGGAGUAAUAAUUUAUGGUCGGGAAAUUAGUUUAUUUUGAUUGUCUACUAACACAAGUAAUAUAUUAUAAAUUAAAUAAGGGAAAGGAAUUCGGCAAAUAAUAACUUCGCCUGUUUACCAAAAACAUCGCUCUUUGUAAAGAAUCUAACAUAUAAAGGGUCCUGCCUGCCCGGUGACUUAGUUAAACGGCCGCGGUAUCUUGACCGUGCAAAGGUAGCAUAAUCAUUUGCCUUUUAAAUGGGGGCUGGUAUGAAUGGCAAGACGGGGGUUAAGCUGUCUCUCUCUUAUAAUCUUGAAGUUAAUAUUUUUGUGAAGAAGCAGGAAUAUAGUCGUAGGACGAGAAGACCCUAUCGAGCUUUAGUAGAAAUAGGAUGCAAUUUGUUUAUACUAUCUUACUGCUAAUCAAUUAUUAUAAAUGAUUAGGUAAUUUUACUGUGAGAUAGUUGUGUUGUGUAUCUAAUGCUUAGGUUGGGGCAACCGCGGAGAAAAAAAAUCCUCCGCUAGUUUAUUGGUAAAAAGUCUUUUUCUUGUGUAAAAUUUUAUAUAGAAAGUGAUCCACUUAUAAAGGUGAGCAAAAGAAUAAGUUACCGUAGGGAUAACAGCGUAAUUUUUUUGGAGAGUUCAUAUUGAUAAAAAAGUUUGCGACCUCGAUGUUGGAUCGGGAUUUCCUGGGGAUGCAGCAGUUCCUAA